rnacentral:rRNA from 1 species
ACACACAGUGUUUUUUGUUAUUACAAGAACUUUUGCUUUGGUCUGGACUAGAAAUAGUUUGGGCCAGAGGUUUACUGAACUAAACUUCAAUAUUUAUAUUGAAUUGUUAUUUAUUUAAUUGUCAAUUUGUUGAUUAAAUUCAAAAAAUCUUCAAAACUUUCAACAACGGAUCUCUUGGUUCUCGCAUCGAUGAAGAACGCAGCGAAAUGCGAUAAGUAAUAUGAAUUGCAGAUUUUCGUGAAUCAUCGAAUCUUUGAACGCACAUUGCGCCCUCUGGUAUUCCAGAGGGCAUGCCUGUUUGAGCGUCAUUUCUCUCUCAAACCUUCGGGUUUGGUAUUGAGUGAUACUCUUAGUCGAACUAGGCGUUUGCUUGAAAUGUAUUGGCAUGAGUGGUACUGGAUAGUGCUAUAUGACUUUCAAUGUAUUAGGUUUAUCCAACUCGUUGAAUAGUUUAAUGGUAUAUUUCUCGGUAUUCUAGGCUCGGCCUUACAAUAUAACAAACAAGUUUGACCUCAAAUCAGGUAGGAUUACCCGCUGAACUUAAGCAUAU